rnacentral:sRNA from 1 species
GCUGGGUGUGGUGGCACAUGCCUGUAAUCCCAGUGGCUUGGGAGGCUGAGGAAGGAGGAUUACAAAUUCAAAGCUAGUCUCAGCAAAUAGAGAGACCCUGUCUCUA